rnacentral:rRNA from 1 species
GAUGAACGCUGGCGGCGUGCCUAAUACAUGCAAGUCGAGCGAACAGACGAGGAGCUUGCUCCUUUGACGUUAGCGGCGGACGGGUGAGUAACACGUGGGUAACCUACCUAUAAGACUGGGAUAACUUCGGGAAACCGGAGCUAAUACCGGAUAAUAUUUCGAACCGCAUGGUUCGAUAGUGAAAGAUGGCUCUGCUAUCACUUAUAGAUGGACCUGCGCCGUAUUAGCUAGUUGGUAAGGUAACGGCUUACCAAGGCAACGAUACGUAGCCGACCUGAGAGGGUGAUCGGCCACACUGGAACUGAGACACGGUCCAGACUCCUACGGGAGGCAGCAGUAGGGAAUCUUCCGCAAUGGGCGAAAGCCUGACGGAGCAACGCCGCGUGAGUGAUGAAGGUCUUCGGAUCGUAAAACUCUGUUAUUAGGGAAGAACAAACGUGUAAGUAACUGUGCACGUCUUGACGGUACCUAAUCAGAAAGUCACGGCUAACUACGUG